rnacentral:lncRNA from 1 species
GCGGCCCGCCCUUCCCGUCCACCGGCGGCAGAGGACCUUCCAGCCGCACCUGCCCCCCUUCCUCGUCUCCUCCUCCCUCCUCUUCCCGGCUCCCCCGCCUCCUGGCGGCGCCGAGGCCUCGAUGCGGACGCUCGAUGAAGCUCACGGGCGAGCGUUCCUGUGGCUUCCCCAACCAGGCAGCCGAGUUUCUCCGGCCCCGCCGCGCUGCGCCUCCGGAUGUCCCGGCCCACCCCGUGAGCGAAGGUAAGAGGGCUGCACCUUCAAUUGGUUUGGCGCAGCAGAAAUCGCUCGGAUCUGAAUGUCGCCGUGCACCUUCUGCUUGCAGUUGCUUGCGUCUUGUGGAAAUCAUUCAGUUGAUAGUUAGGCUCUUGCUCUCCAAAAAAAUAAAAUAAAAUAAAAAUCUAGUUGAUAGUUGUUUGGUUGUGGUGAACCAGCUGGAAACCUCAAAUCACUUACUUUGCAUAUAAAACGCUUGAAAUACGAACAACAAAAUUUAGGCGGCAGUAGUAGCAUCUUCAGUAUGAAUGCUGGACUAUUUUCACUGCAUUUACUCAACCUGCUUCAGUGGUGGAAACAUGGCCGAACCCUUUUCCCAAGGAGAAAAAGAUUGGGAAGUAAUUUUUAGAUGUUACAAAUUUGUCUCUUUGGAAUCAUAAGUACAUUUGCUGCGAUAACAGGAAAUGAAUAGAAAAAAUUGAUUCUCAUUUGAGUAACUUUCUGCAUACUUUUUUUUUUCUUUUUUUGAGGAGAACUUUCUGUACACUUCCUAUCAUAUACACAAAAUUGUUUUUGUGGCCAGCAACUCCUCUAAAAGGUGGGUACUAAUUGCAGGAUCAGAGUUAGUUAGUCUCUGAUCUAUCUACAAUCUAAGAGUAUUCAGAAGAUAAACUAUGCUUUGGACCAAUGUCCUGAACAAAGCCUCAACUCUGUUCUCAAGAUCAACAAUGUGCAACUCCAACUCCUGCAUUUCCUCUUCCUUACAGACUAUGCUUUGGUCUGGAGGGCACACUAGCAGAACAAAGCCACAUCCCAUGUGAAUUAACAGUGGUUAUCACAUUUACAGACAUGAGUUUCUACUAACUUGUUUUAUGGUAGCCAAUGAUGUACAUCUUUUGAAUUAAUUACUUCCUUUUCCCGAUCAAACUUCAAAUGAAGAAAAAUUAAGGAAGAGUGCAAAAAACUUCCAACUUGAAAUAAAUCAAAACUUUGCUUUCAUUUAAUCGAGUAUUUUCUGUACACUCUUAUAUACAUCAAAAAUUGUUUCAGUAACCAGCAGAUCCUCUAAAAGGCGGAUGCUGAUUGCAGGGGAUUAGACAUCCUCUAUGAUCUAUUUACAAGCAAAGAGCAUUUAGAAGAGAAACUCUGCUCUGGAUCAACUUCCUGAACAAAGCCUCGGCUCCGCUCUCAAGAACUGAGCUUUUGCUAGCUGCUGCUGCUGCUUGUUUCGAUUGCUCAAGAACUGAAUGAUGACUUGUGGGAGCCAAGGCUGCGUUUUUAUAGCUCAAAUCAGCAUGGAGCCAACCUUUCGGCGAUCAAUGCGAUGCCUAGCAAAUAAAGAAAAGCUUUAGGCCAUCAAGAAUGGAAGCAGCAGUGUUGCCACUCGCAGUAUGUGCACACUAGCUAGCAGUUUCUUGUUGGCAAUCAAGCAUGGCACGUCACAUGGUCCACUACACGCAUGCCUAAAAGUGUCUUCUUGUGUGUGUAUUUCCAAAAAAAAAAGAGGUGUCUUCUCGCAGCAUCGAUCUAUCAUUGACAUGAUCUUGCUGCAAGUAGCUGCUGGGCCAGUGUGUCGUGAGGCAGCGGUACGGAUGCGCGGUACCUUGCACGGGGAUCAACAGUGUCUAACUCCAACUCCUGCAAUUGCUCCUCCCUACACACAACUCUGCUCUUCUGGAAUGUCUUGGAGACCAGAUACCAUUUGCUAACUCGGCGUUGCAAUUUGCCUCGUCAACAGAUGCACCAAGGACUCUAGCAUGGAGAGAGCAAUCACCCUGGCUUCAGACAACAGCUUGACCACCUUGCAGCUUUCCUGAUCAACUGCAGCAAAUUUCUUGCUGAUCUUCUUGAACUGUUUCUGUGCCUUAUUCACCAAUCGGAUGUGGGACUCUAUCAUGACUUGGACAGCUGCAUCAUCUCCUCUCUUGAGAACAGCUGCAUGUCCAGGAUAUUUUCCUUGAGCACUCCAAAGCUCUCUUGCAUGGUGUUGUAGAGAUCAAGCAAGACAAGUGAGCGUUCCAGCUCUUGCUCCACUGCUUUCCUCUGCUGUGUAACUUGGCUGCUGGGUAAGAACGCAAGCUCUCCGAUGUAGUUGUAGAUGUCUCCAAGCUUCCUGAAACCAUUGCACAUGGUUCCAAUGGUUACAGAUGAUGAGGAAAUUGUUGCCUUCAUGCUCUCGAGCUGCUCAUCAACAUCGAUUUCAUUGGAGUGAGGGCUGGAAGGUACGCUAGCAGAUCUGAGGUGGUAAGCCAUGGUAGUAGUGGAAAUUUUAGUGCUCUUUUGUUCUCUAGAAAUGUAGAAGGGAAGAGAGCAGAUGCAGAACUGCUUUAAUGGUGUCGACCGGGCUAUAGUUCGCCUCUUUAUAUAACCAAACAAGAUGAAGAGGUGGCAUCGUUCAUGGUAUCGACAACUAGAAUCUCAUUUAUGGGAGGUGCUGUGCUGCUGCAACAAAACCACCUAUCUGCACGACAAGCUGAUGCUUUUUGUUUGAUUGUUUGUUUAGGUAACAGGCAAAUUGGUGUGCACUGAGUGCCUAGUUUGAUGUUACAUACAGAACAUGACAUCGGCGAGGCACGAUAUGCAAUGGGAGGUGAAGAGCUGUCCCCGAUGCUUGUUGCUGAAAUUUGGUGGAGUGGUGGAGGCAGCAGUUGACUUCAUUGCUCAUGCGGUCAUGCCUGCUAGACUGUCGCCUGGUUCUGAUGAAUCCUCAUGCAGCAUCGCUGGCAUGUUCAAGUUUUUUUGUUUAAUUGUAGCGUGUAGCAUCUUUGGCAAUCUGUGUAGCAUCUUUGGCAAUCUCAAGGUGAUCCACAUACGUGUCGUAUAAUUUUGUGGCUCCUGUUGUCAGCAACAGUAAUCAUAUAAAAAUUCAUAUUUAUUUUUACUGGUUGC